rnacentral:rRNA from 1 species
UCGGGUUGUAAAGCACUUUUGUCCGGAAAGAAAACCUUUGCACUAAUACUGUGAGGGGAUGACGGUACCGGAAGAAUAAGCACCGGCUAACUACGUGCCAGCAGCGCGGUAAUCGUAGGGUGCGAGCGUUAAUCGGAAUUACUGGGCGUAAAGCGUGCGCAGGCGGUUCGUUAAGACAGAUGUGAAAUCCCCGGGCUUAACCUGGGAACUGCAUUUGUGACUGGCGAGCUAGAGUAUGGCAGAGGGGGGUAGAAUUCCACGUGUAGCAGUGAAAUGCGUAGAGAUGUGGAGGAAUACCGAUGGCGAAGGCAGCCCCCUGGGCCAAUACUGACGCUCAUGCACGAAAGCGUGGGGAGCAAACAGGAUUAGAUACCCUGGUAGUCCACGCCCUAAACGAUGUCAACUAGUUGUUGGGUCUUCAUUGACUUAGUAACGUAGCUAACGCGUGAAGUUGACCGCCUGGGGAGUACGGUCGCAAGAUUAAAACUCAAAGGAAUUGACGGGGACCCGCACAAGCGGUGGAUGAAGGUGGAUUAAUUCGAUGCAACGCGAAAAACCUUACCUACCCUUGACAUGGUCGGAACCUGGCUG